AUUGAACGCUGGCGGCAUGCUUUACACAUGCAAGUCGAACGGUAACAGGGAGCUUGCUCCGCUGACGAGUGGCGAACGGGUGAGUAAUGCGUCGGAACGUGCCGAGUAGUGGGGGAUAACGCAUCGAAAGGUGUGCUAAUACCGCAUACGAACUGAGGUUGAAAGUGGGGGACCUUCGGGCCUCACGCUAUUCGAGCGGCCGACGUCUGAUUAGCUAGUUGGUGAGGUAAAGGCGCACCAAGGCGAAGAUCAGUAGCGGGUCUGAGAGGAUGAUCCGCCACACUGGGACGAAGACACGGCCCAGACUCCUACGGGAGGCAGCCGUGGGGAAUUUUGGACAAUGGGCGCAAGCCUGAUCCAGCCAUGCCGCGUGUCUGAAGAAGGCCUUCGGGUUGUAAAGGACUUUUGUCCGGGAGCAAAUGCUGGUGGCUAACAUCCACCGGAGCUGAGAGUACCGGAAGAAUAAGCACCGGCCAACUACGUGCCAGCCGCCGCGGUAAAAC
rnacentral:rRNA from 1 species